rnacentral:rRNA from 1 species
GACGAACGCUGGCGGCGUGCUUAACACAUGCAAGUCGAACGGAAAGGCCCUGCGUUUGUGGGGUGCUCGAGUGGCGAACGGGUGAGGAACACGUGAGUAACCUGCCCUUGACUUUGGGAUAACUUCAGGAAACUGGGGCUAAUACCGGAUAGGAGCUCCUGCUGCAGGGUGGGGGUUGGAAAGUUUCGGCGGUUGGGGCUGGACUCGCGGCUUAUCAGCUUGUUGGUGGGGUAGUGGCUUCCCAAGCCUUGGACGGGUAGCCGGCAUGAGAGGGUGGCCGGCCUCCUUGGGCCUACGAUAGGGCCCAGAGUCCUACGGUAGGCAGCAGUGGCGAAUAUUGCCCAAUGGGCGGGAGCCUGAUGCAGCAACGCCGCGUGCGGGAUGACGGCCUUCGGGUUGUAAACCGCUUUCGCCUGUGACGAAGCGUGAGUGACGGUACUGGGUAAAGAAGCACCGGCUAACUACGUG